GCGGUACCCUGCGUUAGCCUACCUAGGGGUGUAGAAAAGAAGAAAAGUAUUAUUGUUGAAAUCUUGAUUGUAUUUGGAAGAAAAGAAAAUAUAAAUGUAAUAUGUAAAAAGCAUGUAAUGUGAAUGCUUGUAAUAACUUAGUGGUUUUAUGUUUUUGAUACUUAUGCAAUCCUUGCUUGAAAUCUGUUCCUGGUUGGAACCUCGCGAAUUGUAUU
rnacentral:lncRNA from 1 species